UUGGGCCACCCCCUUGGUGAUGAGUGAGUGAGUUCUCAUGAGAUCUUGUUUUGUAAAAGUGUGUGGCACCUACCCCUACCCCUCGAUUCUCUCUCUUGCUCCUGUUUCUGCCAUGUGAUGUGCCUGCUCCUACUUUGUCUUCUGCCGUGAGUAAAAACUCCCUGAGGCCUCCCCAGAAGCUGAGCUGAUACCAGUGUCAUGCUUCCUGUAAAGCCUGCAGAACUGUGAGUCAAUUAAACCCCCUUUCUUUAUUAGUUUCUUAGUCUCAGGUAUUUAUUUAUGGCAAUGCAAGAAAGACAGAGCUGCUUAACGAAGAAGGCAAAGGCCAGGAGUGCUAACACUGACUCUCUCAAAGUUAUAGAAGUAAUCACAGAAGAUCAAAGCCAGCAUCAGCCAGCCCAGGACUUCUGAACUUCUGGCACAUAAAUGACAGUCUCCUAGGAAAUAGACCGCAUAUUGGCCUUAAGGAGGUAUGUCAACUUGUAAGUCAAAAUAAGUGUCUCAGUCCUGACCACUGCGCUUCCCUGAUAAGCCAGCCCAGGAUGAGAUGCCCCACCCUGGCCACCAGAUUCCUCUCUCCAAGUCACUGCAUGGGGACACAGACAGCCCACACUGGGCGUUACACAUAUUGACUUUUAACAAAAAGAAAAGCAAGUCAAAAAUAAAGGGGUAGAUUUGAGAUAAAAAAUCAAAUGCAGUUCAUUAAAAAUACUCUUCAUAAAUAAAAUCAUAAGAAAUGUAAAAACUGCAUUUGUUUGCUAAGAAUAUGCAUCCCACAAUCAGGGUUCCACUGUUUAGAAAUUUUAAUCAUAUGAGAUUACCCAGAACCAAAUUACCCUCAGAUGAUAACACACUGAAAUUUUUAUAGUGCAUUGAGAAUCCAAUUAAAGAAAAAAUAAUACUUUAUUUUUUAUCUUACACUGACAAAAGUAAUGUGUCGGUAUUACAACUGUGAUUCACACAGGGUGAAGGCAAUUGAAAUAGCAAAAGUGGGAGUCAACAUACUUGACUUUUGUAAACAAGGAUCAGAUAUUCGAUUUCACAC
rnacentral:lncRNA from 1 species